rnacentral:rRNA from 1 species
UACGUAGGGUGCGAGCGUUAAUCGGAAUUACUGGGCGUAAAGCGUGCGCAGGCGGUUCGUUAAGUUCGUUGUGAAAGCCCCGGGCUCAACCUGGGAACUGCAAUGGAAACUGGCGGGCUUGAGUGUGGCAGAGGGGGGUGGAAUUCCACGUGUAGCAGUGAAAUGCGUAGAGAUGUGGAGGAACACCGAUGGCGAAGGCAGCCCCCUGGGUCAACACUGACGCUCAUGCACGAAAGCGUGGGGAGCAAACAGG